UACGAAGGGGGCUAGCGUUGCUCGGAAUCACUGGGCGUAAAGGGUGCGUAGGCGGGUCUUUAAGUCAGGGGUGAAAUCCUGGAGCUCAACUCCAGAACUGCCUUUGAUACUGAGGAUCUUGAGUUCGGGAGAGGUGAGUGGAACUGCGAGUGUAGAGGUGAAAUUCGUAGAUAUUCGCAAGAACACCAGUGGCGAAGGCGACUCACUGGCCCGAUACUGACGCUGAGGCACGAAAGCGUGGGAGCAAACAGGG
rnacentral:rRNA from 1 species